rnacentral:rRNA from 1 species
ACAUGCAAGUCGAACGAGAACGGCCCCUUUUUCGGAAGGGGUGUCAGCUAAGUGGCGAACGGGUGAGUAACACGUAGCUACCUGCCCCAUAGACUGGGAUAACAGUUGGAAACGACUGCUAAUACUAGAUAUACCCUAAGGGGGAAAGAUUUAUCGCUAUGGGAUGGGGCUGCGGCGUAUCAGCUAGUUGGUAGGGUAAAGGCCUACCAAGGCUAUGACGCGUAGCUGGUCUGAGAGGAUGGUCAGCCACACUGGAACUGAGACACGGUCCAGACUCCUACGGGAGGCAGCAGUGGGGAAUAUUGCACAAUGGGGGAAACCCUGAUGCAGUAAUGCCGCGUGGAGGAAGAAGCAUUUCGGUGUGUAAACUCCUUUUAUAUCCGAGGAAGAUGACGGUAGGAUAUGAAUAAGCUCCGGCUAACUCCGUGCCAGCAGCCGCGGUAAUACGGGGGGAGCGAGCGUUACUCGGAAUAACUGGGCGUAAAGAGCGCGUAGGCGGGCUAAUAAGUUGGGAGUGAAAGCCCACAGCUUAACUGUGGAACUGCUUCCAAAACUGUUAGUCUAGAGUGUGGGAGAGGCGAGUGGAAUUCCUGGUGUAGGGGUGAAAUUCGUAGAGAUCAGGAGGAAUACCGAAAGCGAAGGCGACU